rnacentral:lncRNA from 1 species
UAAACACCUUCAAAAUUCCAUCUUAAUUUCUAAAGCUGCAAUCUUGUUUUGCAGCCAAAUGCCUAAGGUGGUUGGCAUUAUUUUAAUACUUCUUAUACUAACACUCAUAAAAACAGAAAUAUUUAAGUAGCAAUUUAUACUUCUCAACAGAAAUAUUUAUACAGCAGCCUUACAAAUUUUCACAUAUUUACUUGUCAUCUUUACAAUUUCUUUAUGAGAUUACUAUUCUUACUCCUAUUUUACACCCAAGAAAACUAAAGUGGAAAGGUUAAAUACAUUUUCCAGAAUCAUGUAAUUCUGGAAGGCAGAGUUGAGAUCUAGGUGUAGUUGUUCUGAUUCUUAAUCCUAUGUUCUUUCAAUUAAAUGAAUAUAUUUUUAAACUUCCUAGCGCAUAGUAGGUAUUCCAUAACUGUUGAUUUUUACAAGUCCCUGCUGUCUACUUGUGCUAGCUGCUUUCUUUGUGCAGGAGGCAGAUCUGUUAAGGUAGUGUAUUUUCAGCUCCCAUUGCUAUGAUAAUGCUAAUUAUUUUACAUCUUGUUCUGAAGGUCAAGAUCCCAAUGGAGAACAUACAUAGGCUCCUGCUAUAAUGAGCAUGCUUCUCGUGGUGGGAAAGAAUACAUUCUGAUCUCUUCCUACAGUAUUACAAAGUUGUUUUGCCAUUUGCAAUUUGUAUUUAUUUGGAAACAAGAUAAAUUCACCCCAGUGUACUCAUGCUGCUUAACCCUCCACAUUUAUUUUUAAAGUCCUCAGGAAAUGUAACUGUAAAAACAGUGUUUAGAACAGCAGGGUCAAUUGUUAUAGAUAGAUUCAGAUAAUGAAAAACAGAGAACAUCUGAUGCUUUUAAAGGGAGAUUUUCCAAAUAUAUUUACUGUUGGGGAUUAAGAGCUUUCGAGCAAUCAAUGUUCACCCAUUUUUGUUACCAGACCACAUUUAAACAGUCCCCUAUUCGUUCGCAAGGGAUGGUCCACACAAAUGCACUUCACUGGCAAUGUAGGAAACUUGCAUUAGUGGUCUAUAGAGAGAUAAAACAUGAGGAAGCAAGAUGCUCCUUUUCUUCUUCUCUCUCUGUUCCUAGGUUAUCUGUACGAGUGGUUCCAGCGCUUGCUGUCCAGCAUCCUCGGCAGUGAAUUCACUCUUGGAUUCUGAAGGAGAUUUGACACAGAAGAGAAGAAAAUAGUGAAGCAGGGAGAGGCAGAGUCAGAGGGAGAAGAUGCUAAACAUUGGCUUUGAAGAUGGAAGAUGGGGUCACAAGCUAAAGAAUAAAGGCAGCUACUAGAAGCUGGAAAAGGAACCAUGUGAAGCGAUAUGAAUCCACUUUUGCAAAUGAAGAAUCUGAGCCUGAAGGAAGAUUAGAGACUUGCUCAAGAUUUUACAGACAGAGGACUCAGCAGAGGACUCCAAGGCCCUAGAGAACAAUGGGACUGAAUAUACAACAGGAGGAGCCUGGGUUCCUGAGAGACUCUGUGGAGCAGAAUACCCACCCUUCCCUCUACCCCAUUGGCCUUUGCAUGAGAGAGAAAUAAAAUUCCAUUUUAUUACUGCUGAGAUUUUGAAAUGAUUUGUUUCAGCAGAUAGCCUCCCCUAAAUAAUACGAUAAAAUAAAGAUUGACAUGAUAACUUUUUUUCCGUGUGUCAAGGAUGGAUUUAUUCAGCAUUGGAGAAGAUUUUAUGACUCAAAACUCAAGUGACAGUGUCCUGAAAUAAAAGCUACUCCAAGAUAAAGAAAUGUUCCAGAACUCUUUUUAUCAUCUGUUAUUUCCUUCUCUAUUAAAAGAGCUACUUAGUGACAGCUCAUAAUUCUUUUUUUUUUUUUUUUUUUGGAAGUUUUGCCUUUACCUUUUACCUAGUUUACUGC